rnacentral:sRNA from 1 species
CCUCAUGGUGGUUACAUGUCUAUUUCUUGAUAUCAUAAAGAAGGUCUUUGACCGACACCUCCACCCUACAAGUACUGAAAAGGCACAGAUGUACUCCAACACAGUUGCUUUAAGUGACGAGUUCAUCGCACUGCAGCCAUUGUCGAGGGCAAGGAAUCAGCUGAGCAAACUUAGAUGGAAGAAGAUAAGGGUUCAGUCAGCUCAGCAUAUGAAUUUGCUGAAAGCCAGCACAGAGGGGAGGACAGUAGGCACCUGCUAGCUGAGGCUUGCAGCCAGCAGGACAGUUGUUGCGUGCACUAGCUUACUGAAACAAAUGCAGGUAUCAAGUGCUUGGACUCCAUGUGCUGUUUCCCGGAAGGAGAAGCAGCGUGUGCAUCUGUUGGAAGAAUGCUGGAACGAGUUAUAGGAAGAUGUAGUC